rnacentral:lncRNA from 1 species
AAAAGAGAAGCAAAUGGGUCUGAUGUGUUCAAUUAAAUGGGGAACGAGUGAUUUCUUUAAGUUUCUUAGAUGCUCAGAUAUGUUACGUUAUGUGCGCAUGCGCAGCUUCACUAGGACUUAAAUUACAGCACCUGGUAAUCACUUGACCGCAGACAAUCAUCAUGGAGGACCUGAGCCCUAAGACCAUGCCUCAGGACGAUCUGGCCUGAUGACUCCUUGCUGUCCCCAGUCCACCUGGUCAUGCUGCUGCUCCAGUUUCAACUGUUCUACCUGCGGCUAUGGAACCCUGACCUGUUCACUGGACGUGCUACCAGGGUCCCAGACCUGCUGUUUUGAACACUCUCUCUGUUUCUAACUCUAACCUGCUGUCUCUAACUGAAUGAUCGGCUAUGAAAAGUCAACUGACAUUUACGCCUGAGGUGCUGACCUGUUGCACCCUCUACAACUACUGUGAUUAUUAUUAUCCGUCCCUGCUGGUCAUCUAAGAACAUUUUAACAUCUUGGCCAUGUUCUGUUAUAAUCUCCUGAGGCAUGGUCCUAGGGCUCAGGUCCUCCGAGAGAGAGAAAGAAAGAAAGAAAGAGAGAAAAAGAGUAGGAAUUAGAGAGAGCAUACUUAAAUUAACACAGGACACCGGAUAAGACAGGAGAAAUACUCCAGAUAUAACAGACUGACCCUAGCCACCCCCCCCGACACAUAAACUACUGCCGCAUAAAUACUGGAGGCUGAGACAGGAGGGGUUGGGAGACACUGUGGCCCCGUCCGACAAUACCCCCGGACAGGGCCAAACAGGCAGGAUAUAACCCCACCCACUUUGCCAAAGCGCAGCCCCCACACCACUAGAGGGAUAUUUUCAACCACCAACUUACCAUCCUGAGACAAGGCCGAGUAUGGCCACAAAGAUCUCCCCCACGGCACAACCCAAGGGGGGGCGCCAACCCGGACAGGAAGAUCACGUCAGCAACUCAACCCACUCAAGUGGCGCACCGCUCCUAGGGACGGCAUGGAAGAACACCAGUAAGCCAGUGACUCAGCCCCUGUAAUAGGGUUAGAGGCAGAGAAUCCCAGUGGAGAGAGGGGAACCGGACAGGUAGAGACAGCAAGGGCGGUUCGUUGCUCCCGUGCCUUUCCGUUCACAUUCACACUCCUGGGCCAGACUACACUCAAUCAUAGGACCUACUGAAGAGAUUGAGUGUAUUCAAGCAGUAAAACCUUGAAAUCAGCCCUUGCCUUAACAGGAAGCCAGUAUAGAGGCUAGCACUGGAGUAAUAUGAUACAUUUUUUUGGUUCUAGUCAAGAUUCUAGCAGCUGUGUUUAGCACUGAUUAUUUAGUGCUUUAUAUGUGGUUAUUUCAUGAAAUUAUGUACUGUAAGUAUGUGUAAUUAAAUCACAUUGCUGUCUCAUGAAAUGUAAUUGUUUCUAUAACAUAACCUACAAUAACUUACUUUGUUUGGAGACUUGCUGCUUGAUUGUAGAGUUUCAGAUUGGCGGCCUUCAGUUGAUAUCUCCCCACUGUAUGGCAGCUCCUUGAUGAAAUGUCCCAAUCAUAUGUUUGUAUCUAUACAUACUGACUCUGAUCCUUAAGGCUGUGUUUAGACUGGCAGCCCAUUUCUGAUCGUUUUUCCACUAGUUGGUCUUUUGACCAAUAACGUCAGACCUUUUCACAUCAGAUCUUUUUCAGAGGUGAUCUGAUUGGUCAAAAGACCAAUAAGUGAAAAUAUAUAUCAGAAUUAGGCUGUCUGUGUAAACAAAGCCUUUGUGUAACUGAAGCCUUUAGCCACACCCUACAUAGGACAUCUAGUUUCAUUUCUUGAGAACUGAAUGACUAUCAGAUUAAUAAGUAGCCUGAACAGCCACUAGUGGUUGCUGUUUGCCUGUCUUUUGAAGGUCCUAACUUGUUUGUCAUGGUGAGCUGUCUCUUUGUAGAUAGCACUUUACAAUAUGUAAUUAUCAGGUUCUUACUAAGACAUUUCAUAGUAAAAUGGUAAAUGGACGUUGUUUCCAUUGGAUCUAUUGAAAUAAGCAGAUGUUUACCAAUUGGGUAUGAAUUCUUUGAAGUACCAGAAAGUAUCCCCAGGUAAAAACAGUAGAAACCGUACUAUAAAAUAAGGUGCUACAUUUAUGUUUUUAUUAAGGUGGCAAGAUGCUCAUGUGGACCUGCAGAAGAAGUUCAGUGAAACCAGAUAAUGUGGAUGUAAUAAGAUGCUGCCUGGCGAUGGAGCAAUAGCCGAUUUGAAUGACUCCUUUUCAAAUGUAACCUAUCGUAGUAAAAGCAAGAAUACAAAAUACUGUAUGUGUUAACCAAUAAACAUUUAUGUGGGGUAUAAAUAAUGAGAGUGGGGAAAAAGAGCUCCACCACAUCGACAGGCAUUGUUUACUUUGACAUAUAGGCAUAAAUAUUUGAAUUUAAUUGAAAAAUAUCAUAUAUUAAAUGGGUUCUAACCUCAUGUCUAUACAUAACUACAUCAAAUAUGAAAAAAGACAAAAGAUCAUUGAAAAACACAGUCUAGUGGUAAUACAUACCUAAUAGCAUGAAUUAUAAACACCUCACAUGACAGGAUUUAAUCCUCAUCAUAUGAUGAUGUUCUGAAUGAAUUCUGCUCUCUGUCACGAAAUGAGAAAGGAAACCACAUAAUGAUGUGUUAUAGCUGGUUUGGUUAUUCUGGUUUCAUAACUGAGUUAUAAAUAUGCAUAAAUACUUCCUGUAGCUUCCAAAAGCUAUGAGGUACUGUUGUUGCUGUCUGAUUGCUUGUCUCUUCUUUUCUGCUCCACAAUGUAUUCAGCUUCUGAGCGGUGUAGACAAC